AAACAUCGCCUCUUGACCCCAUAAGAGGUCCAGCCUGCCCAGUGACUCAAUUCAACGGCCGCGGUAUCCUAACCGUGCGAAGGUAGCGUAAUCACUUGUCUUCUAAAUAAAGACUAGUAUGAAAGGCAUCACGAGGACUAAACUGUCUCCCCCCUCUAAUCAGUGAACCUAAUCUCCCCGUGAAGAAGCGGGGAUAAAUAUAUAAGACGAGAAGACCCUGUGGAGCUUAAAACAUCAUAACACCUGCUUUUUUCUCCAUUCAGAUUUCUCAUCCCCAGCAUGCUGAUUAUAAGUUUUUGGUUGGGGUGACCGCGGAGAAAAAUUUACCCUCCACAAUGAAAGGCCCCUCCCCCCAACAAUAAGUUACAACUUUACAUUUCAAUAAAUUGACAUCCAUUGACCCAAUACUUGAUCAACGAACCAAGUUACCCCAGGGAUAACAGCGCAAUCCACUUUGAGAGCUCCUAUCAACAAGUGGGCUUACGACCUCGAUGUUGGAUCGGGAUAUCCUAGUGGUGCAGCAGCUACUAAAGGUUCGUUUGUUCAACGAUUAAAAUCCCACGUGAUCUGA
rnacentral:rRNA from 1 species